UACGUAGGGUGCGAGCGUUACUCGGAAUUACUGGGCGUAAAGCGUGCGCAGGCGGUGAUGUAAGACAGGUGUGAAAUCCCCGGGCUUAACCUGGGAACUGCAUUUGUGACUGCAUCGCUGGAGUGCGGCAGAGGGGGAUGGAAUUCCGCGUGUAGCAGUGAAAUGCGUAGAUAUCGAGAGGAACACCUGCGGCGAAGGCGGGUUGCUGGGCUGACACUGACGCUGAUGCGCGAAAGCUAGGGGAGCGAACGGG
rnacentral:rRNA from 1 species